UUGACCUCAAAUCAGGUAGGACUACCCGCUGAACUUAAGCAUAUCAAUAAGCGGAGGAAAAGAAACUAACAAGGAUUCCCCUAGUAACUGCGAGUGAAGCGGGAAAAGCUCAAAUUUAAAAUCUGGCGGUCCCUGGCCGUCCGAGUUGUAAUCUGGAGAAGCGUUUUCUGCGCUG
rnacentral:rRNA from 1 species